GAUUAUAACAUGUGGGUCCCAUUUUCGAUGAUGUGGCGCAUAGAUCCGUCACUAGCGUCGUCGAACGUUGCCGGUAGCUCCAUCGACGCGCUGGCUAGGUUAGAUGUCCCGUAAGAAAAAAAACGCUCGCAUUUUAUCCCCUCCUCUCGACAUUAACCCCUCUCCUGGUGGCGCUCUCCUCUGUAUCUCUCUCGUUCAUGACAACAGCGAGCUAGGACCCCGAUGGUGGAGUGGACAGUGCAGGAUACGAUGGCGCAGGAGGGUUGGUUGGCGGCGGAGAUCCAAAGCCACCCGAGGAGUUCUGCGGGAGCUCUAACCCUAGCCAAGCCCCGCAGAGGAGACUAGCAUCACCGUCGAUGGAGUGUGGAUGGUUGCUUCAUAAAGCUGUCUACUGGCCAACAAAUACUUGCUGCCACAAGAAGGGAUGGGAAUAAUAACAUCCAUCCCAUUGCUUUUGGAGUUGUGGACAAGGAAGGCACAAAUAGUUGGACUUGGUUUCUCAUAGAAUUAAAGACAACAAUUGGUGGAGAAGCUGGGAGAUUUGAUUAUUACACCAUAAUCUCUGAUAAGAAGAAGUCAAACACAAUACAGGAAGGUACCACAUCUGUUGGUGCAUCUUCAUCUGUUGCUGCACCAACCAGGAAGGCAACUGUUGCAGCUUCAUCUAUUGGUGCACCACCAGGAGCACCACCAACACCUCCAGCAAGGAGAGCUUCAGCAACUGCAGCAGGCACCUCAAGAGCUCCAGCAAGCAGGGAAAGCAGGCCAACAACUCUACCAAGGAGAGCUUCAAAAGCUUCAGCAAGUAGGGUAAGUAGCACAUCAACAACAUCAACCAGGAGAUCUACAACUAGUGCUCCAGCACCCUUCUUGCCACCAAGACAGAGAAACAAACCAACAAGGCUAAAGGAUUACUUUUAUGCCUCAGGGAACUAAUGUGGUGUGCUGUUAUUAUCCAUGUUAUGAUAUAUGGUACUGUAAUCACUACUAAGUUUAUUUGGCACUCUUAUGAUGAUCCUUGAUCAUAUACAAUGCACUGUUAUGAUGAUUGUGUUGCUGUCAUAAAUGAGCUAAGUUAAUCUGUUGGACUCAAUUUAAAUGCACACAUUGUGUUGCUGUCAUA